GUUGGAUGCAUAAAUACAGAGACACGACUUAUGUCAAUGAACAUUCAUAUCAGCAAACAGUCAUAUUCGGGAUAAGGUCACGUAUGGCACUAAGCAGACAGACGACAGAUAUGAUAAACCACAAUCUAGGACGUGGUGAGCAUUUGUGAUUAACAACAUUUACGGAAUCUCAUUUUGAAUCUUUUCUCCUUAUAUCUCUGUUGAUGCAGUUUUUGUAUAAGAAGCACUCUCCUGUAUAUAAGUACGUAUAAUUUGAACAUAAACGAGCAUUGCGUAUCAAUUGACAUGUGUCAACAUCAUACGAUACAGCAGAUGGUAUGUUAUUGCAGAGAAAUAGGUAAUUGAUAAUUGGGGAGUUGACAUCAAUCCGUUUGUUAUAUAUUUUAGUGUAAAGACUUUCAAAUGUGUUAGAUUAAAGGAAAACAUCAAGAUACGAGGUAGUCCUUAUAUUAUCAAUAGUAUCCCUUUAUCUACAUUACAAAUAAAGGACGAUCUUUGCAACCAAUCAUAAGACAUGUUAUAUCGAAAAUCAGAAGAUUACAAAAAA
rnacentral:lncRNA from 1 species